UGCAAAAAGUUGACGUGUCUCAUCUCUCGUGAGUCUUGAACACAGAAUAGCUUAAAUUGGUGUUUGUAGAAAAAAUAUUAAACUAUAAGAAUAGUAAUGGAAUGAUUAAGACGCCUUUAAGUAAGAGGAGAAAUCUAUAAAAAACUUAAACAAAUAAAAUUUGUUUCCUGAAAAGUUAAGACCACUUAUCUGUAACUCCCUGUCAAUGCAUUAUGGCAUGCCUGAUGCAGGUGUUAUGAUGAACAACAAUUAAUGCAAAUAUUUUUUUUCGUUAAUGAUGACCUCACAGAUCUCAGACAACCUGUUGUCAAUCUCAGUUCCAUUGAUAGAAUAUGCAGCGACAUGUAUCACGAAGACGCCCUUCAUCUUAUUCUACCCGCCGUGAUCAACUUUUCUUCAGAUGGAGAACUUUGAAAAUCCCUGUUGGUAGGCUAUAUACUAUUUCCAAGACUGCAAGGUGGUAUAAAUUAAUUGCCAAUGAUGAAGUCAGGGAACAUUUUGUGCACAUCAGUAAUUCAUUCAAAGAACAGACAUCGUUAGUUGUGUUGGAAGUCCAAGAAAGAAAAACACACACGAAAGCAAACAAAGCGAACAACAGAUUAUGUAAAGGUAGGUAGUAGUAGACCCUUCUUUUCUGCUGAAAUCCCAAAAAAAUCAAAAAGGUGUUAUGCAUUAAAACAAAGAGAACUUGAAUAGGAAACUUUAACUUCAGUAGCUUUUUCACGCGCGAUCUCGGGCUCUGUCAGGGUCGUAAAGUAAGACGAAUCCUAAUGAUCGACUCCAAAGUGUCCGUAUAUCAGCCGUUGCAUUUUUUUCUCAAUCUAGUUUCUCCAUGUGUACGUCAACAUGGUUAUUAGCGUGUCUUGCUCAAUCGAAUGUUUGGACGAUAAUAAACUUGAUUUUGGCAUACGCGCCGCUCUGUGAAGAAUUAGCAAAUGGAUUUCGGUUCAAUCUGAAUUUCCUCGUCGCCUUGGUAUAUGAUUUAUUAAUAACACUCUAUAGACUGAAAAAGAAAAAGUGACUAUUAUCAUCAUAGUACGGGGUCGGCUGCUUCCGCCAGAAUUUCGUUUUGGUCAAAUUUGAAAUAUUCUGGACAUCAAUUGCCGCGUCGUUAUUUUCCCGUACACUCGCAAGUCGCAAAGAUGUUGAAGGUCCGAAAAAUGCUUUGUCGAAUUGUUUUAUAGCGAAUGGAAAUCAUAAUGAUGUAGUGUCGUCUCUAAUAGUAUCAGGAAGAAUAUUUUCUUUUGCAUGACGCGACAUUCAUAUUUAUGGACAAGUUUGAUUUUGAUUUCGUUACUCGAGUUUGAUGUCGAUGUAAUUUAAAGUGGAAGUUCCCUUCAUCUGCGGAGUUCCCCGUCUAUUCCUGUUUGUUUACUUUCAAUUGGGCUGCGCAAGUCCAAAAGUGUGCAAACAUCAUCCUUGAUUCUGUGGUGCAGUCAUUUAUAAAUGAAAAAAAGGAACUAUCAGCCAAGGUGAAAUGCAAAUAAGUAACAUUAAUGAGCGUUUGCUAUCGUCUUUUCAGCGAAUAUAAAAAGCGGUUGAUACAGCUCCGUUGGAUAUCUUCACUUACUGAGCACCAGUUGAAGAACAAUGAAGGCUUCGUCGUUGGUUUGUUUGUUGGCGUUGGUGGUGGUCGU
rnacentral:lncRNA from 1 species